UACGUAGGGUGCAAGCGUUAAUCGGAAUUACUGGGCGCAAAGCGUGCGCAGGCGGUUCGGAAAGAAAGAUGUGAAAUCCCAGGGCUUAACCUUGGAACUGCAUUUUUAACUGCCGGGCUAGAGUAUGUCAGAGGGGGGUAGAAUUCCACGUGUAGCAGUGAAAUGCGUAGAGAUGUGGAGGAAUACCGAUGGCGAAGGCAGCCCCCUGGGAUAAUACUGACGCUCAUGCACGAAAGCGUGGGGAGCAAACAGG
rnacentral:rRNA from 1 species